GUAAAUUGAUAGACAUCACGGGAGCAAUAGGUACAUGCUAUCUUGGAGUUCCCCGGAACGUUCAGGUUUGUGAAGCUGCAACGCGAUCUCGUUGGAACGUAAGGGGUCACAGGAGUCGUCAUUUUCAUGACCUACACUUGCGUAUUCAAAAAAAGCCAGUGCCUGAUGCAAAUGGAGGUAACAAUGUUGUGCUUUGGAAGCAUUCUGACGAUUCUUAUAAACCAUAUUUCCCUUCUACUUGCACUUGGGAUCAGACUAGAGAGAGAAGAGCUACAGUUUUUGGUGCAGAGGUGUAUGGUUUGCUCAAGCAGUGCCGCGAUUCUCCUUUAUUUUUCGGCUGGCUGCUAGAAAAAGAUUGUCAACAGGGGAUAGAAUGAGAGCGUGGGGUAUUCAACAGGCAUGUGUUCUUUGUGGAGAGCCUGAUGAGACUCGUGAUCAUAUCUUUUUUUGCCUGCCCGUAUUCGUUACUAUCUGGGAUAGUUUAGUAAACAGAUUGAGUGGAAACAUGACUGACCCUGAUUGGUUAAUCACUCUGCAGUUUUUGACUACAAAUAAUCUGCAGGCUCUUGACAAGAUCUUACUCAAAAUGGCGUUUCAGACAUCCAUCUAUCACAUCUGGAAAGAAAGGAAUGAGCAGAGUCGAUGAAAGUGGGUGGCAGAGUCGAUUCAUCAAGUAGCAUAUAAUACUUCCAAGGCAAAGUGGGUGGCAGAGUCGAUGAAAGAUGAGGAGCCUUUGCGUCUAAACACAUUUUUCUUAGCACACAAGCAGCAUCUCGUAAUACUUUAAUAGUAUGAAAGGAGAGAUUUGUGAAUAAUACUUUAAAGAAUGAAAAGAGAAUGUUUGUAUUUUAAGACCUUAGGUGUCUCAUAUAUAUAUAUAUAUACUUUGGGGAUUUGACUGAAGAUCUCUAGAGCAGGGGUAUAUGAUAAACAAGAACUCUUUUUGUUGAUAGAACGAGUCAAAAUAUGUUAAUAUCUUUAGCAGUGGUUAGGUUUCUAAUGUUGGUAGAUGUUGUCUUACCUUUGAAUGACAAGUAAUGAAUCAUGGGAAUGAGUCUAUCUAUCUCUAUUUAACUAACUAAUUAAAAAAUUAAGAGCAUCUUUGUCCUUAGUUUCUCAAACAAAAGUGUUUAAUGAAAUAUCUUGAAUUAAUGUAUUAUUUUAACAUUUGUUUAGAUUUAAAAAAUAAUAAUUUUGGAGAAAUACACUCUUUUUUUUUGUCAACGGAGAAAUACACUCUAAAUUUUUAAAAGCAUCCGAUAUUUAAAAAUAAGUUGGAAUAUUGGUCACAGAAAAUUCACCUUUGUCAAAAGAAAAACUAUUUUAACAGUGGUAAUAAUUCAACUUUUUUUCCGUGGUAAAAUAGAUAGGAAGCAACGCGGAAAGUCACCACUCUUUACUCAGCUAGCUGUCAAAAAGCAUCCGCAGGAAAGGAAUCGUCACCUAUCAGUCAUCACACCAAUAUUAGUAAUUUUUUAUUUAAAUCGUUUAUUCAUUUAUAAAAUUUUAACUUUUAAGCUCACGUUUGCCGCUUCAAGGAAUACACAGGUGACGAGUGACGACAGACAUAGAGAGAGACGAGAAAGAGCUCCGCGUUUCCUAAAAUGGACGUUUCGCCGGAAGCCGGUAGCUACGACGAGGUUUUCUCAGCAGAAGAUGAAGACCAGUGCCGGAUUUGUCGAUCGCCGGAGGAACCAGGAAACCCCUUAAGGUACCCGUGCCUGUGCCGAGGUUCGAUCAAGUUCGUCCACCAGGAUUGCCUUCGUACCUGGCUCAUUCGCCGCGGAAACAACAAAUGCGAGGUGAUUUAUCUUUCUUUCUCAUACCUCAAGAGUUUGGGGGAUUUUUGAUUUUUUAGGGUUUUUCCUGUUGCAGGUGUGUGGGCGUAGCUACUCGUUUGUUCCGAUUUACUCCGAGAACGCUCCGGAGAGGCUUUCUUGCGACGAGUUUCUUCUCGGAGUCUUAUCGAGAGCAGGACGUUACUUGAAGAUGAUUGUUCCUUGGAUUGUGUUGAUUCUCUUGAACUGCUACUUCGUUUCUUUACACCCUUGGGGCCAAGUAGCUGCUGCUGAGUUCCAGAAUGAUUUUGGGAUGUCUAGGAAGUUCGCGUGUUUCUCCACUGGCUUGUUAUACAUUGUUUUUAGCGUGUGUCUCAUGACGGUUAUAGCUCUUGUAAAGUUGGAGGUGGGAGAUGUCAAUGUCAGGAGGUUUAUUGGGAAUGGCGGAGGUUUGCAGUUCUUGUUGAAGUAUAUGAAGAUACUUUUUGAUUGGUAUUGUCAUAAACUCAUACACUUCUUGGGGGAACCUCCUCGGCUUAUCUUUCUUCCUCCAGAGGCGCCGCUUCAUGAGUUUGGGGUUAUCAGACGGGUGCUUUUCUUUCUGGAUGAUGAUUCCUUUGCUGUAAGUUUCAUCUAAUUUUCUUUCUUGAUGCACCACAAUGAAGAUUGUUCAGUAACAAAGCUGUGUUUGUUCUGUAGAUUCUUGCCAUCAGUGUGUAUGUGGCUAUCCUCGUUGUUCUUCUGCCUGUUUGGAUUGGAAGGAUUGGAGGCAGCUAUUUGUCUGUAAACUCGCCUGUUGUUCUUGGAUACAUCAUAAUGUUGUCGGUUUGGUUUGCUUACGUUGGAUUCCUCUUCGCUCUCCAUCAGAACUUGUUUCCAGUUAUAGUUCGGUGGCUUUCUCUGGGGGUUCACUUCGUAGCAGUGAAGUUGCCAUGUCUCUUGUGGGUUUUCUCAGUAAAAUCCUGCAAACGCCUGCAAAGUCUUGUAGGCUUUGGAAUCCGUCAGGCCUCACUUCCAGCCAUAUUCCAUUGGCUUUCACUAGGAUUUCACUUCAUAACAGUGAGAUUGCCAAGUUUCUUGUGGGUUUCCUCAGAAAUGGUCUGCAAAAGCUUUCAAAGUCUUGUGCGCUUAAGAACCAUCUCCAUUGACCGUCAAGCCACACUUCCAGCCAUAUUCCAGUGGUUUUCUAUAGGAUUUCACUUCAUAACAGUGACAUUGCCACGUUUCUUGUGGGUUUCCUCAGCAGUGGCCUGCGUAAUCCUAUCUGUCCUUAAGGAAGCUUUUGUCUUGUGCUUCAAAAUUGGUGUGAUUCAUCAGCAACAAAAAAAGCCAGAGACUUUGUGUUAGAUUAAAGAAUCUCUGAUGUUAUUAUAUACCAGGUGAAGUUUGAGCUCUCCUCAUAAGAGUUACAGGAACCCAUGAUGUGCAAUGACUUAAUCUGCCAUCUGUUGGCAGAAUUCUGGAGAUAGAGGCCAUGGAGAGGGUUUAAGGAUCACAGAGAAAGAGAAGAAAAUGAAAUAAAGAAGAUGACUCCAAAGAAGCAGGAGGAAAAUGUUUUUUUUUUUUGGAGCCUUGUGUGAUUUGGUGGAAGAUGACAAGAGCCACACAUUUUUUUAAAACUCAAUCUGCACAAAAUAUCUCAAGAAAAAUAUUUAAAUCUUUUUACCAUAUUUGAUUAACGAAGAGUGUGCUUGUCACAUCGGAAUAGUCUGCCUUCCCGCCGGACUUUAUGCCGUUUUGGAGAUGUCACGUGAGUGCCAUUCUUGCUUAUCAUAAUAUUGGGCUUGAGUUUUGUUUCUGCGGCCCACUACUAAGUCUGGACAUUAGUAACUGAAACCCAUGUCCAAAACAAACUUUAAUUAAAAUAUUUUGGAUUUUCAUAUUAUCCAAAUCUUGUCCGUAUUAAAUUAGCAUUUGAAAUGAGACUAUUCACAAUACUAAAUAAAUAUUUCAAAUAUUUAACUUUAUGUCUAUCUAUCAUGGUCCGGUUGUAAAAUAUUUAAAUUCAAAAUAUUAUUAACUGAACCCAAAAUGAAUUUUAAUUUGAAAUGAAAUUUUUUAGAAAAUUAUAAAAAAAAAAAAUUAUAAUCAAAAAUAUGAUUAACCAAACCUAACUCGAACAUAUAUCAAUCCAAUCCAAAUAUAACCCGAACGUCCAUGUGAACUACACUUUGGCGUGGCAGCCCUGAUUUGUAUUUGGCUCUACCUACAUUUUUUUAGUUUCAGUUCCUUUUUCAAAUAUAUACAACAUAUAUCAGAAGAAAAUUCAACAACCAAGAGUAGUUUGAUUAUUUUUAUAACAUUUGUUCAAACUGGAGAGUGAAAAUGAAGUUUUUGUUACAAGUCACACAAAUCACAAGCCAAUAAUAUUAAAAAAAAAAAACAAAGAUCAGAUGUUGGAACCAAGCAAAGUGAGGAGGAAGUCCUUGUAGUCACCGGAAACAUCACCAAUAAUAGCGUUAUCCAUGCUUGUAUUGUACAUGUUAUAGUACUCUCCUCUUGCUUUCAUCAGAUCAAUCUCUGCACGCGUCACAAUCCCUCUCGUCAACGAAUCUUCAUCUGUUCCAAACCCUUCAAUGGAGUCUCUUACAACCUGUAAAUUAAACAUAAACAAAAAACACAAAAGUCAAAGGAAAGAAGAUAAAACACCUUUGUUGUCUACUUGAGUAACAUCUGCUCAAAUGUUUUUGAAGUACCUUUGCAAAGUGUUUCUCAGGGAACUCAAUGCACAAGAUCACCAUCUGUAAUAGACUUUUCAGAUCAGCAUCUCCCGGACAUCCAUCAACAUCCUGUCCAUAUAACAACACAACAUCAAGCAUCAAGUAAAGAAUUAAAUAUAACAUCUUUAAAAACAAUAACCAAGAGAUUCGGGGCCGAAACCCGUAAUCCUCCCAGUGCCGUAACCACAACAUGUAAUAUUAGUUUUGUUCCGGAAGUUCGAAAGCAGUCGAACUUCCGACACAAAUGCUAGGGUCAUUUUCAUUCGAGAUAACGAAUACACAUAACAUAAAUGAAAGCCAAACUCACCUUAUCUAACGUGUUCCCAUAACUCUGCUUGUAAGCAACAAAGGUUUCUCUGAGCUGGUAGAUACUGCGAGUUCCUAAUAUGUAUAGGACAUGAUCAUGAUCUAGUUGCUUCGCUGUGAUCGCUUCACGCAGCAUACCGGCCUCAAUAGUAGCUACUUCUGUAUCAGCCAUAUCUUUGUCAUAUCUAAAAGAAGUUGCCAAAGUCACCAGUACCUGUGUGCAGUUUAUACAAUAAAAGACCAUAUCAAGACUUUAGCUUCUCAUGACAACAAUCAAAACUCAAAAGAAGGUAUACCUUUGCAAGAGGGAAAGGGACAGAGGAAGCAAUGUGUUCUUCAAGAGAUAAGUCGAAGAGAGAACAGUAAGCUUUCCUCACAGCAAUCAAAUGGUUAGGAGAAGUUGUGCAAGAGAUCUCUACGAUGAUCUUAAGUUUCUCUAUGCUUUUCUUCUUCCCAUUCAAGACGUUGUUAGCUAGCCUUGCGUCUCUCUCUGCGAGGGGGGGGGGCAAUAAAUAUUUUUCAACUGGGGCAAUCAAUUUUUUCCUAAACAUUUAAAUGAUGUAGCUCCGCCCCUGUGGAUAACUAUCUUGCCAAGUCUUGUCCUGGUAAAUUGCUAAAAUCUUUUUACUAAUAUAUAAAACAAAAUAAUAUUAUUCUAAUAUUAUUCUCAUCCGAAGUGGAAGAUUUGGUGUAGUUUAGGAAAAUAUGCCUAUUUCAACCAGAACUUUAUUCGUCGUGCAUAUUUCUUAUUGAACUGAAUAAAAAUACAAAAACACUACAUGAACUUUAAGCAUUGUAACUUUUCAUUCCGAACUUUAUAGUACUGCAUAUUCUAUAUUAAACUAAAAAAUAUUCAAAAUACUACAUGAACUCUCAAAAUCGCGCUUAUAUAUGUACUGACCAUAAAAUUUUAAAACAAAGUUAAAUUUUCAAAAAAAAAUAUUUAUUUAAUUAUUACUUUAUUAAUAUUCUUAUAAAUUGAAAUAUCUUUUGGAAAACUUAAUUUUAUUUUUAAAUGUAUCUUUAUAUACAUAAACAACACAAAACUUUAAUUUUACCAUCAAUUUUAAGUAUGCUAUAAAGUAAAUAUUUAAAUUAAUAAUAAUUAAUUUGAAUGUAUUAAAUGAUGAUUUUAACAUUUAAAUUAAUAAAUAAAUAAAUAUAUAUAUAUAUAUAUUUAAAAUUAAAAAAAAAAAUUUUGAUUACAUUUAUUUCAUUAAGCCAAAAUUUAUAUCUAAGUCAAUGUUUGCAAAUUUGAACAAGAAAAUUACUUUAGUCGAGCAAUUAAUAUGCUAUUAUUUGUCUAGAAGUGUGAGAGAUCUAAUCUCUUAAAAAUUAGUUUUUAUUAGUUUAAAUUUAUCUAAAAUGACGUUAUUUUGAUAACUUUGCGAAUGACUAAUACCUUUGACAACUUUUAAUAUAUAAAAAAUGAUGUAUAAAAACUAAUAUAUUUGAGGUUCAAUAUUUAUAAGGACGAUUUUGAGAGUUAAUGCAAUAUUUUUAUUUUCUUUAUUUAGCAUAGUUAACCAUUAAUCAAAUAUAUUUGACGUUCAAUGGUUUUAUUAAUCAAAUAUAUAUAGUUCUUAUAAAUAUUGUUAUUUUUAUUUUCUAACAUGUCUUUGUUAUCUUUGUUAAUGCAAUAUUUUUAUUUUCUUUAUUUAGCAUAAAUUAUCAAAAACCAUAAUAACCAUCAAAAAGUUAUUAGUACUUUAAUGUUAUUUUUCAUAUUUCAUGUAUCUCAAAAAAAAAUAAAAAAAUAAAAUCAUAAUAAGUAAUUUUCAUAGAAAACUAAAGUAUAUAAAAUAUAUACUAAUAAAAUAGUUUAUUUGAGACUUGAGAAAGUGUCCACAUAAGCAUAAAAUAUUUCUUCCAAAAGAAGUAACAUGACAUUAUUACUAAAAAACAAAAAGUAAAUAAUAAGUAAAUGUACAAUAUAGGAAAAAUAAAUAAUAAGUAAAUAUACAUUAUAUGAAAUAGAAAUAUUACAUUAAACAUCUAUCAUAAUAUUAUUAUCCAGACUGAGAUUAAAGAUGGCCGCACUGCAUUCUUCUGGUUUGACGAUUGGUUACAAAUGGGUAAAUUGAUAGACAUCACGGGAGCAAUAGGUACAUGCUAUCUUGGAGUUCCCCGGAACGUUCAGGUUUGUGAAGCUGCAACGCGAUCUCGUUGGAACGUAAGGGGUCACAGGAGUCGUCAUUUUCAUGACCUACACUUGCGUAUUCAAAAAAAGCCAGUGCCUGAUGCAAAUGGAGGUAACAAUGUUGUGCUUUGGAAGCAUUCUGACGAUUCUUAUAAACCAUAUUUCCCUUCUACUUGCACUUGGGAUCAGACUAGAGAGAGAAGAGCUACAGUUUUUGGUGCAGAGGUGUAUGGUUUGCUCAAGCAGUGCCGCGAUUCUCCUUUAUUUUUCGGCUGGCUGCUAGAAAAAGAUUGUCAACAGGGGAUAGAAUGAGAGCGUGGGGUAUUCAACAGGCAUGUGUUCUUUGUGGAGAGCCUGAUGAGACUCGUGAUCAUAUCUUUUUUUGCCUGCCCGUAUUCGUUACUAUCUGGGAUAGUUUAGUAAACAGAUUGAGUGGAAACAUGACUGACCCUGAUUGGUUAAUCACUCUGCAGUUUUUGACUACAAAUAAUCUGCAGGCUCUUGACAAGAUCUUACUCAAAAUGGCGUUUCAGACAUCCAUCUAUCACAUCUGGAAAGAAAGGAAUGAGCAGAGUCGAUGAAAGUGGGUGGCAGAGUCGAUUCAUCAAGUAGCAUAUAAUACUUCCAAGGCAAAGUGGGUGGCAGAGUCGAUGAAAGAUGAGGAGCCUUUGCGUCUAAACACAUUUUUCUUAGCACACAAGCAGCAUCUCGUAAUACUUUAAUAGUAUGAAAGGAGAGAUUUGUGAAUAAUACUUUAAAGAAUGAAAAGAGAAUGUUUGUAUUUUAAGACCUUAGGUGUCUCAUAUAUAUAUAUAUAUACUUUGGGGAUUUGACUGAAGAUCUCUAGAGCAGGGGUAUAUGAUAAACA
rnacentral:lncRNA from 1 species